UCCUGCGGGUAAUAUGGAUGGGACGACGUCUGCAUUAUUGAAGACAGAAGUAAAAUAUUGUUAGUGGACACUUCUUUCUUUCCACUGAAGCACCGCUGAGCCAGGAUCUCCCUCCUCUGGUCGGCCAUGGCCACGUACCGCUGCCUCUCCUCCCGUCUCUGGCGGAGAGCAGGGACGCUACUCGGCGGCUGCGGGACGGCGGGGUGUUUGGAAAUGAUGACGCUGCUGCUGCGCUGCGUGCGGGACACCGGCAGUCUCUGACGGAUGUCUGCGGAUACCAGCCGCGAUUCCAGGGGCGGCAGGAGAGACAGUGAGCUCCACAGCUGCCGUGCGUGGGACACGUCCUCCGGAGAAGAGCCGUCAAACACGGUGAAGCAUUUAUCAAAGUCCUCCUGCUCCGGGGCCUCAGACAUUUUACUCUUAGUCCAGAAAACGGUUAACAAGAAGAAGAAAAAUUAAACAGGGUUAACACUUUUUAUAUAUGUCAAUGGUUAACACUAGUUUAGCUAAUAAGCUAGCUAAUAGCAAAUUAAGUGCGCUGUAUGGUCACCAUGGAAACGAGAAAGUUUAUCCUUCCGCGCAUACCUUUCAAAAUAAAAGUAGGUUAUUGACCUUUAGAGUAAA